GGAUUGAAAUGGGCGCAGCCUGAUCCAGCAAUCCCCCGCGUGUGNGAAGAAGGCCUUCGGGUUGNCAAGCACUUUUGUCCGGGAAGAAAUCCCUGGUCCUAAUAUGGCCGGGGGAUGACGGUACUGGAAGAAUAAGCACCGGCUAACUACGUGCCAGCAGCCGCGGUAAUACGUAGGGUGCGAGCGUUAAUCGGAAUUACUGGGCGUAAAGCGUGCGCAGGCGGUGAUGUAAGACCGAUGUGAAAUCCCCGGGCUUAACCUGGGAACUGCAUUGGUGACUGCAUCGCUCGAGUAUGGCAGAGGGGGGUAGAAUUCCACGUGUAGCAGUGAAAUGCGUAGAGAUGUGGAGGAAUACCGAUGGCGAAGGCAGCCCCCUGGGUCAAUACUGACGCUCAUGCACGAAAGCGUGGGGAGCAAACAGGAUUAGAUACCCUGGUAGUCCACGCCCUAAACGAUGUCAACUGGUUGCCGGGCCUUCAUUGGCUUGGUAACGUAGCUAACGCGUGAAGUUGACCGCCUGGGGAGUACGGUCGCAAGAUUAAAACUCAAAGGAAUUGACGGA
rnacentral:rRNA from 1 species